GCCCCCGUAGCUCAGCGGAUAGAGCGCUGGCCUCCGGAGCCAGGCGCGGGAGUUCGAGUCUCCCCGGGGGUACCA
rnacentral:tRNA from 1 species